UGGCUUGUAAAGCCAAACUCACGCACACCCCUCGGCACGCAGGCCGUGCAAACCUCAGUAAAAAAACGUAUUUUCUGUCUAUGCCUACUCUCCUCGGUAUACGGCUUCUCCACGGUUGUGACAUCCCCCGGCGUCGGCGUCGUUGCUGCUCCAUCCCGGUGCCGCAGUUGCCUUGGGAUAGAUUGCAGGACUGAAGCCGCAAGGCUCCGCAUCAUCCACGCAUGGAUGACCUCGCCCCCACAUGUCGUCCUCCCCGGUGCUGCUCUCUGCUUGGCAUGAGAUGCCAACAACCGUGGCCUUAGGAUUUUUGGUGACGCACUGACGUUUGCCUCCAACUCCAAUGAAGCAUUAAGUUCUCCGCUGACCACUGCACACCAGGUGCUUGCGUUUUUGCCAAAACCAUCAUUGAUUUUUUAUUUAGGCUAACCACUAUAAUAUUUUGUAGAAUGGACACUUUAAAUUGGCACGUUGAAUGUGCGGCUAUAUCUACACAAGCUUCGUUAUCCUUGUUCUGCUGCUAUUCUAAAUUAAUUCCAUAUUAUACAUUAUACAGUUCCUUGUGACGUGCUAGGGGGAUGAAGACUUAUCUAUUCUAUAUCACAUUAGAUUACAAUGUCUAUAGUCUCAUUUGGGGGGUCCAAAUCUUGAUAGUAGAAAUUGUGGCUGAUGUGGACUGAUUAUCGAAUACUAGAACAGCAGGAUAGAUCGGCUACUUGGGGGGUCCAAAUCUUGAUAGUAGAAAUUGUGGCUGAUGUGGACUGAUUAUCGAAUACUAAAACAGCAGGAUGGAUCGGCUACUCGCCCUCCCGCAGGAGGCUCUGAGAUGCACUCUUGAUCUAUUUUCUGCUUGCCUAACCCUAAGACUCCUAGCAGCGUUUUAUAGACAAGGCGCCUAACAAACUUGACCCUUAAGUAAUCUAAUCUUUAUCCUAAACCCUAAUAUGGCGGCGCUACAGUACCGCGGUACUGUUCACGAGCAGUGCUUGUGGGCCUAGGCCUGUGGCCGGCCCACUUGCCAUAACACUUCUCCACCCCUCGAAGACAGCUCGUCCUCGAGCUGGAGUUGACGAACUUGGCGCAGACUAGAUGACUUCGGGCUGGAGCCAAUGUUGCUGGUGGAGAGUAGUUGAAUGACGCCGAAAGUCGCAGCUGGGCUGAUCCCAGUCAGUUAGCCUCCCGAGGUGCCGACGGGGCAAUCCUGGAGGCGAAGACUGGUUGCUCUGGCGAGGGACUCCAAGCGGGUGAUGGAGCACAGGGGGCCCACGGCCGGACCAGCAAGGCACUGGCACAUGGGGACCUCCAAAGAUUCUCUUGGACAUUGCUUUAAUUCUCCUGUUGUUUGCAGUUCCGGUGGACAUGCUAGAAGCACAUAGUGGAUCUUUUGCUAUGGCUGCAAAGUGAAUAUGGAUGAUCUCGUAGUAAAAAAUAAGCUUGAUGGAGCUUUUGCAUCUAACAGUGUGUUUGCCUUCAUUCCUUGUUGUUCGAUGUUUAUUUAAACCAUACCUCUACUGCUUGAGUCCCUAUAUUUUCUCAUGUUCAUGGCAUUAAGUGAAUAGAAAAAAACUUGUGGUUAGUAAAUGGAAAAAGAUCCAUUAGAGCCUUAAAUUAUGAUCUUAUCACUUAUAUAAUCAGCAGUGUUAUUUGCUCAUUUUUUCUAUUUAUAUUAGUAAAUGUCUAUUCUACUGCUAACGAGGAGGCUGCAGCUGGUAGCAUGCUAACCUGGAGCUGCGGUGAGACCAGGUGAGACCGUACCUCAUGAUAUUGAUUGCCAUGUUGUGAUAGAAUCAAAGCUUUUCUUCCCUAAUUAAGUUUAGAAGGCCAUGCAAAUAAAUUUGACGUAUUAUUUCUGAUGACAGAAUUAAUCUCACUUAUAAAUAACUAAAUCAGUGCAAAUAGCUUAGAUGAUGAGCUCUUAGUUAAUAAUAGCUAAAGAAAGCAAAAUAGCGGAUUCAGAAUUAAGAGUAGUACUGAGCUUCAGUCUGUUAGUAAAGCAAGACCGAUUGCAUUAGCUCAGUACAAAAUAGAAGUAUGAUGGCAAUAAAUUGUCAUUCAGUGAAUUCUGAAGAUGAAGUAGACAUGGAUCUAACUAGAAGAAUAUAUAUGAAGGAUCCUGCAACAAUCUAUUUAAAUUUUUUCCUGGCGAUUUCCUAUUGUUAGAGGGGGAGGGUUGAACAAGUGUUACUCUUCCACUAGGAUAAAUAAACUGAUGUGCCUACUCAAUGCGAUAUGAUCUUUUAACAGUUUUGCAGCACAUUUGAGAAAACAACACUAGACUAAUAUCAAAGUUAGUUUCCAAUUCCUAAUUCUGACAAUUUGGUGACCUGUGGUUCAUGUCGCGACUAGCUUAAAUUAAUCACAUAAUCACUUUCUAGGUCAACUUUCAUGAUAUUUCUGUUGAACAUAUCCUUGUAAACCAAUCAAGACCAUGAUCUUUUGUAUGAAGUCCUCUCCUUGAUGUAAAUUGCAAAACCAUAAUAUUUUUAGUUUGUUCAGUUUCUUUUCCUCCAUUCAAGGCUGCUGUCUCUCCUGUCUCCUUUGAGGACACUAAACCUGCAAGUAAGACUUUCCAAUUUUUCACAUUAACUAUGAUUGGUUGCUAAUAACCUUCUUUCUCUACAGUGCUCAAAAUUAUUCUAUCUUGCUAGGUAUGAUGCAAGUAAUUCGUUAAAAUUCUUAUUCUUAUCGAUGCAUAAUUUGGACCCACGAACUGAUGGUAGUUGUUUAUACUUCAGUUUGUAUUACUCACAUUAUUUGGUGGUCCUUAGUUAAUGAACAAUCCUCUUGCCAUUGCCUUGUAAAUUGCCCUUCCUUUCAUGCAUCUGCACAUAGUUUUCAAGGUAACAUUCUUGAUAUAAUAUGAUUGCAUCUUUUGUUCUCCUAAAUAGACCCCUUUCUUAUAUAAUGCAGUUGGUUCUUGCAGAUUCACGCCAAGUUUCAAGCUUUCAUUUGUUGUCAAGUAAGGGUCGAAUUUCUUACACUUAUAAGGCAUACCUAAAUGGCUUGGUUCGAUAUGUUGGGUUCAUAAGUUGUGAGUUGGGACAACUAUGGCGUGGCAAUGUUGGUGCUCCUAAUAUAUGAGCUACCUAACUAUCCCUGAUCUUGCUGGUCACCGUGUCACUACGAGAGUGGGGAACACAGAGCUGCGGAGAGCAUUGCCGGAGCUGACUGAUAUGGUGGUGACUGAGCAUUGCCUAUAAAACACGACCAUAGAUGCAAGAAUGAUAGAAAUAUUAUGUGUGAUAUCUAUAUUUUUCUAUAUUUGGUCAUCAGUUCUAAAAGACUAUUGUUUAAGGAGUGCAUUGCUAAUUGUGUCGGCCUUUUUAUUGAUACUCAGUCUAGAAUCAUGAUAAGUGUAGUUGACAUUACAUUAUAAAUCAGCUGUUUGAAUGA